UGUAGCAUAUACAACUGAGUGUUGAAAGAAGACAAAAUCUUUUUCAUCACAAAGAAUAUGUGCUCAUUAAGAAUCAGAAUGUUCAAUUGUGUGAAGAUGGGAGAUGGGGAGAUUGGCCUUGGAUCCAGAAAUCAGUCCUCCACUACGUAAAUGGGAAUUAAAAGAUGAUCAGAAGACAGUUGGGAGCAGAGUGAGAAUAAGAAUCUUCAACUGCCGUCUCACCUUUCAGAUCAUGAAGAAGUUUUUCACAAUGAGCAGAACACUCAACCUGAAAGCAGAAUGGAUUGAGUCACUGAAGCGUGGCAGUGGAAUGGUGCUUGAUGUUGGCAAAGGAAACAUGUACUUCUAGACUUGACACUUUUCCCUUAGUUUACAGUUUCCAAAUAGAAACAUCACUUUAAAAUAACAUGAAGAAUAUACAUGGAUGUACUGAACGAAGGAUAAAGUCUGUGUUGCAGUCCUGGCCCCAUCGACUUCUACAAAUAUGGCUUUGGACAAAUCACCUAACUUUUACUUUUGCGAAUUUAAACUCAUCAUGUAUAAAAUGGCAUUGCUAAUAUGUUUGCUGCCUACCCCAUUGGGUUUUGUGAGGAAUAAAUGAUAAUGCUAAGAAAAAUGCAUUGAGAAUUAUAAAUCACUAUUCAAAUGCAAGUUAUUUAUGUGAUUAUUGUCAUUACUAUUAAUACUUUCACUCAGCUAAAACCUUAGAACCAAAAAAAUCUGAGAACUUGCUUACUAUUAAUAACUGUCUUAUUUGAUUUAGGGACUCAAGAAAGUAUCAGCUCACAUGACUGAGUCUCAUCAAUUCCAAGUUGUGCAUUGAGAAUCACAAUAAAGAUCGGGAAUAUGAGACUUUAGGCAUAAUUCUUUUUCAUCACCAUCUGGCUAUUUCUACUUCUCCAGUCCUAACUUCUAACCUGAUCUUAGUCAGC